UGGGUAACCUACCUAUAAGACUGGGAUAACUCCGGGAAACCGGGGCUAAUACCGGAUAACACAUGAAACCGCAUGGUUUCAUGAUGAAAGACGGUUUUGCUGUCACUUAUAGAUGGACCCGCGGCGUAUUAGCUAGUUGGUAAGGUAACGGCUUACCAAGGCAACGAUACGUAGCCGACCUGAGAGGGUGAUCGGCCACACUGGAACUGAGACACGGUCCAGACUCCUACGGGAGGCAGCAGUG
rnacentral:rRNA from 1 species